CAGUCGCACGGUAAUACGAAGGGUGCAAGCGUUACUCGGAAUUACUGGGCGUAAAGCGUGCGUAGGUGGUGGUUUAAGUCCGUUGUGAAAGCCCUGGGCUCAACCUGGGAAUUGCAGUGGAUACUGGGUCACUAGAGUGUGGUAGAGGAUAGUGGAAUUUCCGGUGUAGCAGUGAAAUGCGUAGAGAUCGGAAGGAACAUCUGUGGCGAAGGCGACUAUCUGGGCCAACACUGACACUGAGGCACGAAAGCGUGGGGAGCAAACAGGAUUAGAUACCCCAGUAGUCCCUGUCUCUUAUACA
rnacentral:rRNA from 1 species